rnacentral:misc_RNA from 1 species
CAGCUAGGCCUAGCUUAAAGGUUAGUGAUGCUUAGUAUGAGUUUGCAUAAAGGGUAUAAAAGGCAUGGUGCUGGUACUGAUGAAAGCAUGCCAUCUUCAAGGAAGUUAUAGAAUAUUGAAUUUUACAUCUUUUAAUUUUGAGAAUACAGUAAGAAUGUAUGAUUACAUCUUGAACGGAAAUUGAUGAAAUUUCAUCAUAUUUUCUUUUUAACUAGGCCUCAACUAAUCAACAAUGAUUAUAUUGUGUCUUACAGCAUUCAUUUGGUUUAUUUUCCAUGACAUAUUUAUGGAUGAUGGUGAACAAC